rnacentral:rRNA from 1 species
UUUGGCCUCGGAUCAGGUGGGGAUACCCGCUGAACUUAAGCAUAUCAAUAAG